ACCCCCUCAUACAACCCCUUCUUCUGAUCUUCUUUCUCUUUCUUUCCUUAAUCAAUUCAUAAACUGUUAUCAGAAUAGUGUCAAGUUCAUUGAUAUUGCUGUUGGAACAGAUUGUACAAACUGCACAGAUAGUAUGAACAGUUUAAUCUGCAACAUCAGUAACAUCUGCUUAAUUGGUGACACAUCUGUUACAUUACAAAUUGAUUCAUCUGUGUCAGCCCAAGUGCCCUGUGUUUAUGAUCACACCUAGGUGCCCAAGUUAAGUUUAAGAAUAAGUUACCCAAGUCCUACAAAGCUGCACCACUGUGAUAGUGCUGCAAAGAAGCUCAAGUGCUUAGAAGUCC
rnacentral:sRNA from 2 species